GAGUUUGAUCCUGGCUCAGGACGAACGCUGGCGGCGUGCUUAAUACAGCAAGUCGAACGCACUCGUCCCUUCGGGGACAAUGAGUGAGUGGCGAACGGGUGAGUAUCACGUGAGGAACCUGCCCCGGAGACCGGGACAACUCGAGGAAACUCGAGCUAAUACCGGAUGUCUUCGCACCGUCGCAUGGCGGAGCGAAGAAAUGGUCCGCCGCUCUGGGAGGGCCUCGCGGCCUAUCAGCUUGUUGGUGAGGUAAGGGCUCACCAAGGCAUCGACGGGUAGCUGGUCUGAGAGGACGAUCAGCCACACUGGGACUGAGACACGGCCCAGACUCCUACGGGAGGCAGCAGUAGGGAAUCUUGCACAGUGGGCGCAAGCCUGAUGCAGCAACGCCGCGUGGGGGAAGACGGCUCUCGGGUUGUAAACCCCUUUCAGCAGGGACGAAAUUGACGGUACCUGCAGAAGAAGCGCCGGCCAACUACGUGCCAGCAGCCGCGGUAACAC
rnacentral:rRNA from 1 species